GACGAACGCUGGCGGCGUGCUUAACACAUGCAAGUCGAACGGAAAGGCCCUGCUUUUGUGGGGUGCUCGAGUGGCGAACGGGUGAGUAACACGUGAGUAACCUGCCCUUGACUUUGGGAUAACUUCAGGAAACUGGGGCUAAUACCGGAUAGGAGCUCCUGCUGCAUGGUGGGGGUUGGAAAGUUUCGGCGGUUGGGGAUGGACUCGCGGCUUAUCAGCUUGGUGGUGGGGUAGUGGCUUACCAAGGCUUUGACGGGUAGCCGGCCUGAGAGGGUGACCGGCCACAUUGGGACUGAGAUACGGCCCAGACGCCUACGGGAGGCAGCAGUAGUGAAUAGUGCACAAUGGGCGGAAGCCUGAUGCAGCAACGCCGCGUGCGGGAUGACGGCCUUCGGGUUGUAAACCGCUUGCGCCUGUGACGAAGCGUGAGUGACGGUAAUGGGUAAAGAAGCACCGGCUAACUACGUG
rnacentral:rRNA from 1 species